UGGCUGCAGUGGCUGCAGGAGGAGUAGCAGCAGCAGCUUCGUCUCGCCGCGGCCUCAGAAACCUUCGGCCGGAGUGCUUGAGCGGCACAGAAAUGCCCUCCCUUCUCCUGACCCGAGUACAAUCUAGAAGCUCUACAAUGAAGCAAUACAGAGGUGAUCACCUGGAUAGCUGAAUUGAACAUCCAGUGCCAUACCCCCAUAGAGGUUUUACUUAUAAUUAUGUGGACUGUGUAUAUAUAUUUACUUCUGUCAUGUUCUCAUCAUAUGCUAAAUAAUAAUAAUACACUGGCUAGGCCAUGGUUAUUUGUAGUAAGUGCUCUGUUGUUUCCUUCUCUUUCAAAACAUUGGAUUCUUAACUAAAUAUCCACCCAAAUAAUCCCAAAUCUUUAAAACUUCUCCAGGUCCUAUUUUUUUUUGUAGUGGUAGUAAUGAUAAUUAUACGUAGUAUGUGCUUAUAACAAGUGCAGUAAAGGUAGAUUAAAAUUAUGUACAACAGUAAACAGUAAUUCAUUAUAAUAUAAAUAUUUCUGAAUGGUAGGAAAUCUAUACUAUAAAUCAGCAGUCCUCAAUCUUUCUGACACAAGGGACUGGUUUGGUGGAAGAUAAUUUUUCCAUUGGGGGGGAGGGGGGGAGAGGAUGGUUUCACACGCAGCCUAGAUUCCACAUUGCCACAGCCCAGUUCCUUACAGACCACGGACCAGUACCAUUCUGCAGCCCAGGGGUUGGGGAGGGGCUGCUAUAAAUGAGUGAAUAAUGAAAAAGGCUUUUUUAGCUUCACAGAAUUCCUGCAAAAAUGUGUGUGGGGGGGGAGCUUUUAAAACUUCAAGGGAUGAGCCCUUAUUCAAAGGAGAUGAUUCCAGGAAUAGAAGCUAAAUGGGGAAAGGCUCUAAAAUAUAAAGUAAUCAGUUUAAGAUGAAGCAAAACUAAUCAACUUUGAUUGCAUGAUUGAGCCAAGUACACGGGUUCAUGAACUGUAAUCAAGCUAUUAAAAUAACUUGCAUUCAGUCAACACAUAUUUGUAGGAUUACAACCUGCACAUAUGUUAAAUAUGUUUCAUUUUUUGCAUCAACAUUGUAUACAUUCAGAUCCUUCCAUUAUUUAACAUCCUAACUUGAAAACAAAAAGGCAGUGGUUAAAUUUGACUCAAAAGGACAGGCUGCCAGGAAACAAAUUCCUAAUCCACAAACAAGUUUAUUCUUCAUUUUGCAUUCUGAUUUUAUGAUUAAUAUUUAUAGUAAUAAUAUUAAACACCUUACAAAUUAUGCAAGGCUAAUGUUAGAUCAGGGGUUGGGAACUAUGGCCCUUUUAUGACAUAUGGACUUCAAGAAUUCAGGAAUUCUGGGAGUUGAAAUCUACAAGUCAUAAAGGGGUCAUAAUUCCCACCUCUGUGUUUUGUUUUUUUUUAUUUUGAUUUAUAUGCCGCCCUUCUCCGGAGACUCAGGGCGGCUUACAAUGCUUUAAGCAAUAGCCUUCAUACUCUUGUAUAUUUUAUACAAAGUCAGCUUAUUACCCCCACAACCGGGUCCUCAUUUUACCUACCUUAGAAAGGAUGGAAGGCUGAGUCAACUUUGAGCCUGGUGAGAAUUGAACUCGCAGUAAUUGCAGGCAGCUGGAAGCUAAAUAUUACCUUUAACAGUAGCAUUAGUCUGCUGCGCCACUCAUGUGUUAAAUGAUUAACAUUUUUUGUUUGCUUCUUGUAAUUACAAUAACCAGUUAUAGCCAGAGUCCUUGUUUAAAUCAUAUGAGGCAUUUAAUUUUUAUUAAGAAUAAAUUUAUGGAUAAGAAAAUGGCAAAAUGUAACUUCUUAUCAUUGCUUGUCUUUGCCACCAUCAAUAACUGUGUUUAAAAAAAAAACUAUAAAAUACAGUUUUUUUGGGGGGGGAAUACAUUAUUUAUUCCAUCUCCUUGGUGAACUGAUUCGAUUCAGCAUUUGAAAGGGGGCUGAUCCAAAAAUCUGAGGGAAACCUAUAUUAAUCACUAAUGUAGAUUUGAACAAUAAGAUUUGCUUAAAAGCAUUUUUGUUUGUGUAUUUGCCCAUAUUUAUUGUCACAGAAUUGUACUAUAUGAUACAAGAAUUCAUUUAAGUUCAUAUAACUCCUUAUAUACUAUUAACUGUCAAAAUCAGUUCACUCAUAAUUGUAUAUAAGGACCUCUUCAGUUUUAAAAAGAAAGUUGAUAAUUACCAAGGUUAUGGUCUAGCUUGGGAAAUUGUAAAACAUUCCAGCAGAAAGUAAUGGCAAACUAAUGAUAUACUGUUGCCAAGAACUGCAUGGAUGUAUGGUAUGUAUCCACUGAGUCAUUAAGUUCAACUUGAAAGAGGCAUAAGGAAGUUAUCAAAACCUUUGUCAUAAGCACAGAACCAAGUUUCUUAGCGCACUGUCUCAAAACUGCUGAUCUUCAGGAUUUUCUAUAAAUAGACAACUCAAGCAACACAUUUGCUAUGAAUUAUUUUGGUACACUCAUACCGUAAAGGCUUCAAGUCUUUUGAAAAGUCACCCUCAUUUCAGUAGAAGUUUCAACUAGAGCACUGUUUUCUACUUGAAUUAUUAGAAAACAAAUGAGUUAUAUGGAAUCUGCUAAUGGAUUGUAUCUAUGUAAAAAAGAAUCUAAGUAUGUACUUUUCUAGAUAUGUUAUUUUAGUAUACUGAACUGGUCAUAUAUCCAUUACCACAAGCCAAAUCCACAUUGUAUCAUAUCUACUUGUAAAAUUUAUUUUUGUCUUGAUGUAUUUCCGUAUGGUCACAGUUUGACUUGCAGUAGGGUAGUAAAAUGUAAUAUUGUAGCUUACAGUAAAGCAGAGUAUUGCACUAUUUUAUAGCAAAAAAUAAAUGUAAUAGCUGCAGAAUAAAAUAGCUGUAAAAAAGAUGUUUGAUAACAUUAUACAACAUAUCUCAAAGGGCUUACUGAAAAAUUGUUUACAUCAACCUUUCAAAUAUGGACAGAAAUAAUCCAUCCAUGUUAUAUGGAUAAAUAAAUACAUUUAUUUAUUUCA